CCUACGGGCGGCAGCAGUGAGGAAUAUUGGUCAAUGGCCGGAAGGCUGAACCAGCCAUGCCGCGUGAAGGUCAGUGCCCUAUGGGCGUUAAACUUCUUUUGUGCGGGAGCAAUAAUGGUCACGUGUGGCCAGACGAGAGUACCGUACGAAUAAGCAUCCGCUAACUCCGUGCCAGCAGCCGCGGUAAUACGGGGGAUGCAAGCGUUAUCCAGAUUUAUUGGGUUUAAAGGGUGCGUAGGCUGUAAGGUAAGUCAGCGGUGAAAUGCCCCCGCUCAAAGGGGUGAAGUGCCAUUGAUACUGCCUGGCUGGAAUGCGGAUGCGGUGGGAGGAAUGUGUGGUGUAGCGGUGAAAUGCAUAGAUAUCACACAGAACACCGAUUGCGAAGGCAUCUCACGAAUCCGCGAUUGACGCUGAUGCACGAAAGCGUGGGUAUCAAACAGGAUUAGAUACCCCAGUAGUC
rnacentral:rRNA from 1 species